rnacentral:tRNA from 1 species
AGGCCAGUAGCUCAAUUGGUAGAGCUUUCGUCUCCAAAACGAAAGGUUGUGGGUUCAAGUCCUGCCUGGCCUG